rnacentral:rRNA from 1 species
UACGGGGGGGGCAAGCGUUGUUCGGAAUUACUGGGCGUAAAGGGCUCGUAGGCGGCCAACUAAGUCGGAUGUGAAAUCCCCAGGCUUAACCGGGGAACUGCGUCCGAUACUGGUUGGCUUGAGUUUGGGAGAGGGAUGCGGAAUUCCAGGUGUAGCGGUGAAAUGCGUAGAUAUCUGGAGGAACACCGGUGGCGAAGGCGGCAUCCUGGACCAAUACUGACGCUGAGGAGCGAAAGCCAGGGGAGCAAAGCGGG